rnacentral:rRNA from 1 species
UACGGAGGGUGCAAGCGUUGUCCGGAAUUAUUGGGCGUAAAGGGCUCGUAGGCGGUUUGUCGCGUCGGGAGUGAAAACCAGGUGCUUAACACCUGGCUUGCUUUCGAUACGGGCAGACUAGAGGUAUUCAGGGGAGAACGGAAUUCCUGGUGUAGCGGUGAAAUGACGCAGAUAUCAGGAGGAACACCGGUGGCGAAGGCGGUUCUCUGGGAAUGACCUGACGCUGAGGAGCGAAAGUGUGGGGAGCGAACAGG